rnacentral:rRNA from 1 species
GGUUAAGCGACUAAGCGUACACGGUGGAUGCCCUGGCAGUCAGAGGCGAUGAAGGACGUGCUAAUCUGCGAUAAGCGUCGGUAAGGUGAUAUGAACCGUUAUAACCGGCGAUUUCCGAAUGGGGAAACCCAGUGUGUUUCGACACACUAUCAUUAACUGAAUCCAUAGGUUAAUGAGGCGAACCGGGGGAACUGAAACAUCUAAGUACCCCGAGGAAAAGAAAUCAACCGAGAUUCCCCCAGUAGCGGCGAGCGAACGGGGAGCAGCCCAGAGCCUGAAUCAGUGUGUGUGUUAGUGGAAGCGUCUGGAAAGGCGCGCGAUACAGGGUGACAGCCCCGUACACAAAAAUGCACAUACUGUGAGCUCGAUGAGUAGGGCGGGACACGUGGUAUCCUGUCUGAAUAUGGGGGGACCAUCCUCCAAGGCUAAAUACUCCUGACUGACCGAUAGUGAACCAGUACCGUGAGGGAAAGGCGAAAAGAACCCCGGCGAGGGGAGUGAAAAAGAACCUGAAACCGUGUACGUACAAGCAGUGGGAGCACAGAGCAAUCUGUGUGACUGCGUACCUUUUGUAUAAUGGGUCAGCGACUUAUAUUCUGUAGCAAGGUUAACCGAAUAGGGGAGCCGAAGGGAAACCGAGUCUUAACUGGGCGUUAAGUUGCAGGGUAUAGACCCGAAACCCGGUGAUCUAGCCAUGGGCAGGUUGAAGGUUGGGUAACACUAACUGGAGGACCGAACCGACUAAUGUUGAAAAAUUAGCGGAUGACUUGUGGCUGGGGGUGAAAGGCCAAUCAAACCGGGAGAUAGCUGGUUCUCCCCGAAAGCUAUUUAGGUAGCGCCUCGUGAAUUCAUCUCCGGGGGUAGAGCACUGUUUCGGCAAGGGGGUCAUCCCGACUUACCAACCCGAUGCAAACUGCGAAUACCGGAGAAUGUUAUCACGGGAGACACACGGCGGGUGCUAACGUCCGUCGUGAAGAGGGAAACAACCCAGACCGCCAGCUAAGGUCCCAAAGUCAUGGUUAAGUGGGAAACGAUGUGGGAAGGCCCAGACAGCCAGGAUGUUGGCUUAGAAGCAGCCAUCAUUUAAAGAAAGCGUAAUAGCUCACUGGUCGAGUCGGCCUGCGCGGAAGAUGUAACGGGGCUAAACCAUGCACCGAAGCUGCGGCAGCGACGCUUAUGCGUUGUUGGGUAGGGGAGCGUUCUGUAAGCCUGUGAAGGUGUGCUGUGAGGCAUGCUGGAGGUAUCAGAAGUGCGAAUGCUGACAUAAGUAACGAUAAAGCGGGUGAAAAGCCCGCUCGCCGGAAGACCAAGGGUUCCUGUCCAACGUUAAUCGGGGCAGGGUGAGUCGACCCCUAAGGCGAGGCCGAAAGGCGUAGUCGAUGGGAAACAGGUUAAUAUUCCUGUACUUGGUGUUACUGCGAAGGGGGGACGGAGAAGGCUAUGUUGGCCGGGCGACGGUUGUCCCGGUUUAAGCGUGUAGGCUGGUUUUCCAGGCAAAUCCGGAAAAUCAAGGCUGAGGCGUGAUGACGAGGCACUACGGUGCUGAAGCAACAAAUGCCCUGCUUCCAGGAAAAGCCUCUAAGCAUCAGGUAACAUCAAAUCGUACCCCAAACCGACACAGGUGGUCAGGUAGAGAAUACCAAGGCGCUUGAGAGAACUCGGGUGAAGGAACUAGGCAAAAUGGUGCCGUAACUUCGGGAGAAGGCACGCUGAUAUGUAGGUGAAGUCCCUCGCGGAUGGAGCUGAAAUCAGUCGAAGAUACCAGCUGGCUGCAACUGUUUAUUAAAAACACAGCACUGUGCAAACACGAAAGUGGACGUAUACGGUGUGACGCCUGCCCGGUGCCGGAAGGUUAAUUGAUGGGGUUAGCGGUAACGCGAAGCUCUUGAUCGAAGCCCCGGUAAACGGCGGCCGUAACUAUAACGGUCCUAAGGUAGCGAAAUUCCUUGUCGGGUAAGUUCCGACCUGCACGAAUGGCGUAAUGAUGGCCAGGCUGUCUCCACCCGAGACUCAGUGAAAUUGAACUCGCUGUGAAGAUGCAGUGUACCCGCGGCAAGACGGAAAGACCCCGUGAACCUUUACUAUAGCUUGACACUGAACAUUGAGCCUUGAUGUGUAGGAUAGGUGGGAGGCUUAGAAGUGUGGACGCCAGUCUGCAUGGAGCCGACCUUGAAAUACCACCCUUUAAUGUUUGAUGUUCUAACGUUGACCCGUAAUCCGGGUUGCGGACAGUGUCUGGUGGGUAGUUUGACUGGGGCGGUCUCCUCCUAAAGAGUAACGGAGGAGCACGAAGGUUGGCUAAUCCUGGUCGGACAUCAGGAGGUUAGUGCAAUGGCAUAAGCCAGCUUGACUGCGAGCGUGACGGCGCGAGCAGGUGCGAAAGCAGGUCAUAGUGAUCCGGUGGUUCUGAAUGGAAGGGCCAUCGCUCAACGGAUAAAAGGUACUCCGGGGAUAACAGGCUGAUACCGCCCAAGAGUUCAUAUCGACGGCGGUGUUUGGCACCUCGAUGUCGGCUCAUCACAUCCUGGGGCUGAAGUAGGUCCCAAGGGUAUGGCUGUUCGCCAUUUAAAGUGGUACGCGAGCUGGGUUUAGAACGUCGUGAGACAGUUCGGUCCCUAUCUGCCGUGGGCGCUGGAGAACUGAGGGGGGCUGCUCCUAGUACGAGAGGACCGGAGUGGACGCAUCACUGGUGUUCGGGUUGUCAUGCCAAUGGCACUGCCCGGUAGCUAAAUGCGGAAGAGAUAAGUGCUGAAAGCAUCUAAGCACGAAACUUGCCCCGAGAUGAGUUCUCCCUGACUCCUUGAGAGUCCUGAAGGAACGUUGAAGACGACGACGUUGAUAGGCCGGGUGUGUAAGCGCAGCGAUGCGUUGAGCUAACCGGUACUAAUGAACCGUGAGGCUUAACCUU